CCUACGGGAGGCAGCAGUGGGGAAUAUUGCACAAUGGGGGAAACCCUGAUGCAGCGACGCCGCGUGAGUGAAGAAGUAUUUCUGUAUGUAAAGCUCUAUCAGCAGGGAAGAAAAUGACGGGACCUGACUCAGAAGCCCCGGCUAACUUCGUGCCAGCAGCCGCGGUAAUACGUAGGGAGCAAGCGUUAUCCGGAUUUACUGGGUGUAAAGGGGGCGUCGGCGGCCAGACAAGUCAGUAGUGAAAGCCCAGGGCUCAACCCUGGGACUGCUGUUGAAACUGCCGGGCUGGAGUGCAGGAGAGGUAAGCGGAAUGCCUAGGGUAGCGGUGAAAUGCUUAGAUAUUAGGAGGAACCCCAGUGGCGAAGGCGGCUUACUAGACUGUAACUGACGCUGAGGCUCGAAAGCGUGGGGAGCAAACAGGAUUAGAUACCCCGGUAGUC
rnacentral:rRNA from 1 species